rnacentral:rRNA from 1 species
UAAUACGUAGGAGGCGAGCGUUAUCCGGAUUUAUUGGGCGUAAAGAGGGCGUAGGCGGUUUUUCAAGUCGAUUGUGAAAUUUCCCGGCUUAACUGGGAGGAGUCAUUCGAUACUGUUGGACUAGAGGGCAGCAGGGGGAGGUGGAAUUCCCGGUGUAAUGGUGAAAUGUGUAGAUAUCGGGAGGAACACCAGUGGCGAAGGCGGCCUCCUAGGCUGUUUCUGACGCUGAGGCCCGAAAGCGUGGGGAGCGAACAGGAUCAGAUACCCUGGUAGUCCACGCUGUAAACAAUGGACACUAGGUAUAGGGAGUAUCGACCCUCUCUGUGCCGAAGCUAACGCAUUAAGUGUCUCGCCUGGGGAGUACGGCCGCAAGGCUA